GAUGAAGAACGCAGCGAAAUGCGAUACGUAAUGUGAAUUGCAAAUUCAGUGAAUCAUCGAAUCUUUGAACGCACAUUGCGCCCCUUGGUAUUCCAUGGGGCAUGCCUGUUCGAGCGUCAUUUGUACCUUCAAGCUUUGCUUGGUGUUGGGUGUUUGUCUCGCCUUUGCGUGUAGACUCGCCUUAAAAUAAUUGGCAGCCGGCGUAUUGAUUUCGGAGCGCAGUACAUCUCGCGCUUUGCACUCAUAACGACAGCGUCCAAAAGUACAUUUUACACUCUUGACCUCGGAUCAGGUAGGGAUACCCGCUGAACUUAAGCAUAUCAAUAAGCGGAGGA
rnacentral:misc_RNA from 1 species